rnacentral:lncRNA from 1 species
GCAAGAAAUCUUUCGAUUCUUCCCCAUGAAAACAACAUCCCACUAUUCUUCUCCCCAUAUUUUCCUAAAAAUUCCCAGAAAAUCGCUAACAAAAAAUUCAAAACCAUUCUAAUAUAGAUAUAUAUAAAAAGGAAAAUAUCAAAGUCAGGUACCUGAAGUAGCGGGAAGACGAGCCUGUUCUCCAAGUGAAAAUGAAAAGAGAACGCAAGAAAAAAAUAAAAAUGCAGUUACAAGGCCAAAUGACAGUGAUUUGAAGGACACCAUUGUUUGAAUCCCACACGGCUUGGUUUCUUGAAAAUAAGUUUAGAUUCUUGAAACUAUGAUAUGGCCUUCAAAUGUAAUAUUUUUUUCAGUUUUCCUGCACGCAAACGCGGAGAGAAAGAGUUCAGAUUUUAGCAGUUGAAAGAACAGUUUUUCCAUGUGUAUAGAUAUAGAGAAACCCUCCAAAAUACUUCACAUCGGGGUGUCCCAUAUGGGUGAAAUAUUCCAAAUAAAUAUCCAUCCACGCACCCCCAUUGUGCGUGAUCUGGCGGGGAACCCCUUCUCUGUACGUGAGGGUGAGAAACAAAUGGAGGUUUUUGGUGCUGACAAGUGACAGCAAAUGGAGCCUGGAGGUGUGUCGGGGGAUUUUUUUAUUUUUUAUUUUUUAACCUUAUACUCGAAAUGCCCUUAAUUACGCUUUUAUUUUUAGGCGCGUUUGUUUUUCAUUUUUAUAAAAAUAAAAAUAAAAAAUAUAUCUAUUAUGGAUUUCACAAAAGAAAUAGAAAUUCAAAUUGAUGAUUUGAUGUGAUGAAUAACGGUCAUAUUUUUCAUUUUAAUAGAGAAUGAAUGAGAAACAAACAGUGCUUAAUUUUAUUUUAUUUUUUUAUUUUUUUUGGGUGGCGAAGGUGGGCCGUGGGAGUAACUUGACAAUUACAAGUUACAAAAAUGACCAUACGAUGAAGGAAAAAUUUUGUUGUUGUUAUUUUCAUUACUAUUUAACACGGGAAAAAUUGUACUGUUGGCCGUCGACCUGUGAUUUCAGUAGUAACUUGGUUAUUAUUUUUCAAAAUAUUAACAAGUUAGUCCUAAGUCUUUUGAUAAUGUUCCUUAAAGUUUUUUGGCAACCAUCUAAGUUGAAAAGGCAAAACUCAGCUUCAUAAAAUUAGACAUACAAGGAUAGAUGAUUCAAUUCUAAUGGGUUUCAUCAUUACAAAAUUGAUGGUACAACUCUGAAGAAAGUUUAAGAGCAACUUGCUUUCAUAAGUUGGUAAUCAAUAAUUCGACUUUUUCUUGAGUAGUAAUUAUGUUGGUUGAGAAAUUCAUUGAAAUUAUUUCAGUGCACAGUCAAUUGAGUUUGACUUGCAACAUAUAGAACUAAUCAGUGUGAUUUUGAGAGGUAUGUGAGUUGGGGGAUUAAGGACCAAAAUUGGUGUAAAUUAAUUAAUCAUUUCAUCUUGUUAUGGUCUGUAGAGAUUUCAUAAGUUCUUGAAAUAUAAGCUUCAUAGACUACUUUUUCUUCGUGGAUAUCUUUAGUGAUUAAUCAAAAACUAUUAUUAUAUCAAUAAAUAGUGUUUGAUAUCUUCAAUUUUUUGAACCCUACUUGGAUAGAAAAACGUCAGGUGGCACAAUCUACUACUACCACAACCACAACACACAACGAUGAUAAUUUUGAUAUUCAAUUAAUUUUUUGAAAUUAUUUGAAAUUACAAUCAAUUUUGUUUUGACUUCUAAUCCUCCACAUAGAACCAACUAUUGGGGUUCUAUAGGGAUUGAAGUUAACUUAUUUGCAGUUUGCUUCAAAAAGGAUUUACAGCAACUUGCACAAUAUUACAUUUCUGAAUCAAAUUAACAAAAAUAAAAAUAUUGAAAGAUAAAGUACCACUCAAAUCAACUAUUACAAUAUACUAAAAGACAAGCAAAGGCGUGGAGACUUUGUAAAUUACUAGGCAAGCAGAGAAUGUUCCAGAAAACAAAAGGAUAUUUGGACAUUACCUUAAAACGUGUCAGCUAAUUUGAGUAAAUUAUUGUUACAAUCAUGCUAUGUUGUCCGAAUUUUUUUUGAUAUAAUAGCUGACCGACACUCAUAAUGAGAGGGGGUCCACUUCUUUUUUGGACUUUUUUUGUUUACGUGGGACCCACGUGUAUGUGAAGGGAUGUCAAUCAUUAUGUCAAAAAAAUUCUGACAAAAUAGUUUAAUUCUUAUUGUUAUUUGCUAUUUCAAAGUGGCACCCACAAAACAUUAUUUCUCUCCGUAUGAUAUGGACAACAAAAGAACCAAUGAUGUAGGAGUGUCAAAACGUAAUUGUGAAUCCUUUGAAAGAACGAAAGGAAAAAAUUGUUAGUCUAUACAUUUGAAACCGCGGGACCUAGUAAGACUACAUUGUGUCAAGUGUUAGCUUGUGCUGACAAUCAAAUUUGCAGUUGUCAACAUAUUUUAAUCACGUUUCUUUCGAUAUAUUCUUCUCCUACAUAUGAGAAUAAGUACUUAGGCGGAGGUUUUGUCAUCGUUGGCCAUCCGACGAUCAAAUAAGUCUGCAAAAAAGCUUCUAAAAGAUAAACUUACAAGACCUUGAAUAGAACGGAGCCAGAUGAAGAAGUGUAACUAAGAGUUUGAUUGACAUGGAAAAUAUUACCUAAAAAGGAAAAUAUUUUCCAUCUUUUAUGGAAAAUAAAAAUCACCUCUACCCAACGAAAAUGUUUUCUUUAAAAAUAUGGAAAAUUAGGCAUAUUUUCAAAAGUUGGAAAAUGUUUUCCAUGGAAAAAAAUUGCAAUCAAACACUUCAAGUAAGAAUUUAGAUGAAAAAUUGAUAUUUUCCAUAAAAAAUAAAUGUAAUCAAACACACCCUAAAAGAUAGAAAUUAUCAUACAUCUUCUAUACGAACAUUGGGCUAUUUAUAGGUAUUCGUGAUAGAGGGGCGUUAAGAUGUUAUACCUCUUUUGGGACAUGUUUCAUGAUGCUAAUGGAGAGUGUUUUUGGCUUUCAGAAUUCUUUCUAAAAAACAUGACUUCCUUUCUGGUGAAGUUUUCUUUUACACAUGCUCUACGUACAAG